AUACGGAGGUUCCAAGCGUUAUCCGGAAUCAUUGGGUUUAAAGGGUCCGUAGGUGGAUAAUUAAGUCAGAGGUGAAAUCCUGCAGCUCAACUGUAGCAUUGCCUUUGAUACUGGUUAUCUUGAGUUAUUAUGAAGUAGUUAGAAUAUGUAGUGUAGCGGUGAAAUGCAUAGAUAUUACAUAGAAUACCGAUUGCGAAGGCAGAUUACUAAUAAUAUACUGACACUGAGGGACGAAAGCGUGGGGAGCGAACAGGAUUAGAAACCCUAGUAGUCC
rnacentral:rRNA from 1 species